ACAGCAGGAGCUCAGAGGAGAUGGCUUGUGCUCCUUUUCACCUGCUGCUUAUCUCCACACACCGAAAUACCUGAGAAUCGUGGCUGUAUUCGUCGGCAGACAAGGAGCUGUUAUUUGGCCGAGUCAGGAGUGACUGUAAUACCAUAAACAGAAGUGAUGUUUCCAGGAAAGUAAGGUCUCAAAUGUCUUCAAGUUCUUCUGGUAAGAAGACAUCCUUUACUGAAGGACACAGCAAACAUAUGAGAAAUGGUGUUGCAAUUCGGUCGCUGGGAUAAGUUUUACAGGAGUUGUUACACUGCGCUUAAAGAAAGACAAACCCCAUCCCACCGA